GACAAAGCGGAUUCGGAAUUAUCUUUCCUUCCAAGGAAAACUUGUAUCCAUGAGCUUCAGAUUAUUAGCCUGGAGUUCACCACCAGCAGUAUAGCCAACCCUACCCUAUCACGUCAAUCCCACAAGCCUCUUAUCCAUUCUCGUUCGCUCGUGGCGGGGCAGUAAGUCAAAAUAGAAAAAACUCACAUUGGGUUUAGGGAUAAUCAGGCUCGAACUGAUGACUUCCACCACGUCAAGGUGACACUCUACCGCUGAGUUAUAUCCCUUCCCCGUCCCAUCGAGAAAGAGAAUUAACGAAUCCUAAGGCAAAGGGGCGAGAAACUCAAGGCCACUCUUCCUCCGGGCUUUCUUUCCGCACUAUUAUGGAUAGUCAAAUAAUGGGAAAAGUUGGAUUCAAUUGUCAACCGGUCCUAUCGAAAGUAGGAUUGGCUAUGGAUUCGAGCCAUAGCACAUGGUUUCAUAAAAUCUAUACGAUUUUCCCGAUUUAAAUCAAGCAAGUUUCCAUGAAGAAGAUCUUGUUCAGCAUGUUCUAUUCGAUACUGGUAGGAGAAGAACCUGACUCGGUAUUCUUAAAAAAAGAGGGGAAGCAGAACCAAGUCAAGAUGAUAUGGGUCACCCCUUCUUCUUGCGCCAAAUAUCUUUCGUCGACUCGAAGAGUUGCCAUUAGUGUUUCGUGACUCUUUUUUCUCGAAAGCUAAGGGGAAAAAUAAUGCCUAAAUUCUAAACGAAAGUAGAAGCUCAAGGCCUUAUUAAUUUCAUUAUCUCUUCCAUUCCAUGGACCCGAGAAUGCCAAUAUUAGCACGAAUCAUACGGAAAUGUAACUCGGUAUUCAAACAACUAUUCAGAGUUCCUAGAGCUCCUUGUACGGCCUGCUGGAAAACCCGUUGUCGGACCUGAUUCAUUGCCCUUUGUUUUUCAAAAUAAAGGGUUUCGUUUUUAGACUUUUCUAAUUGUUCCAAACUAAUAGAAGUAGCAUUAAUCAAAUUUUAUUUUUCUCGUUCUAUCUCAGAGUAUCCAUUCAUUCGAUACUCAUCCGCUUCUAGUUCGACUUUCUGUAAUCGAAUCCGAGCUUUUUCGAGCUGCUCAAAGGUCCCCCUACGCAAUUCUUCCGAAUUUCGAAUAGUACUCAAGCUCCUCUGUUUUCGAUUAUCUAAUAAAUCUUUUAAUGAAAGUAGAUUAUCUUGCUAUUAAGUUUACAACUUUUAUGAUCUCUUCCUGAACCAAACAUGAAUCUUUCGUUUCAUUUGGCUCUCACGCUCCUUUUUUCUUUUUUUGCUAUGGCUAUUUCCAUAUCUUUUUUUUAAGUAAUGAGCCUAUCCUCUCUCUUCUAUUUUAUCUUUCUAUUUCAAUAUACUGAAACCUGUAUAAGAUUAGAUAAAUAUUAAGAGGACUCUUCCGCCUAGAUAAAAAUCUAUCAUGGUCAGCAAAGUUGUUUCUUUAUUUGUAUUUGCACUUUACUUAAUAAUUUCAAUUUCAUUAAGAAAAACUAAUGAAAUAAAUAGAAAAUGAAUCGAAGUCUUUUUUUCCUUCAAAUCCAAAAAAUUUCUCUUUUUUUAUUUUAUACAUAGGUUGUCGAUUCGGCAUUCGAUAAAAAAGGGCAAGGUGCCACUUUUUUUCUAGUAAAUAGUUCAAACCAUUUUAUCGAUAUGAGUGUUCUAUAUCAGAUAAAUUCUACAUUAGCUAUUUUCCAUUUAAAGCAUUUCGGUACUAAUACUAAUAUAGGUGUAGAAAGAGUACCCCUUUUUUCCUGGACUUCAAGCAGUUUAGCUUUAACCGUGUUAGUAGUCUCACAUUAUUAGUUUAUAGAGAAUCAAAGUUGAUUUACCAACGAGUCGUGAAAUGCUAUGGUUCUUCCAUAUGAUUUCUGAAUUUAUUCAGAAGUAAAUCGUCGAGAUUGCGCACCCUUAUUUAUCUGAAAAAUACUAUGAAAUAUUCCAAAGUGCAGUCGGAUAGAUCCAACCUAUUCUUGAAAUAGACAACUCGCACACACUUAUUAGAAACGCAAGACAGCCAAUACGAACAGCUAGAAAAACAGCCACGCUUAAAGGAUGUCCUCAGCGUCGAGGAACAUGUGCUAGGGUGUAUGUGCGACUCGUUCAGAUCAUGACCUCAAAAAAAAAUUGAAGUAGCCAUGAUUGGUACCAAUGAAUAGGAUAUAGCUUCUCUAUCCUAGAUUUCUAUGAUAUAUGGCAUUUGUGGUUUCCUUUGGUGCAAAUCCAGUUAUCUAAAUUGGAAAUAAGAAGCAAUUCCUCCAUUGGUAGCAAAUAGUUAUCCAUUAAGCGGAGGAAAAAGUAAUAAAAAAAAAAGGCUUAUGUUCCUUUAUCUUAAAAGAACGGACUAACAGGGUCAGCUACUCAGCUAACUUUCAUAAUUAAAUGCCGUCACUGUAUGGAUAACUCUUAUUGUGAAAAGAGCUAUUUACUCUAUAAUGGAUAGGUAGAGCCAAAGAAUGUGAACUAUACAAGUUCACAAUACCUUUUGAUAAAAGAAGGGGCUCCGGUGUAUAGAGAGGGCCUCGCCGUUUCAAAGGGAACCAUAGAAAUGAUGGAACCCACUAUUUUCUUAGUAUCAUUAGAAUUAAUUUGUUAUUUUGCGGAACCCACUAUUUUUUUAGUAUCAUUAGAAUUAAUUUGUUAUUUCGCAUAGAAAUAACUGAAGGGAGUAGAAAAAAAAUCAUGGUUGGGAAGGUUACUAUAGCAAAAGCCAUUGGAAUUAAUAUUUUAUAUAUCGGAAUAAUUCGUUUUGUUAUUAAUGGGGAAAAGGAUUGCUAAAAGAAGAGAAAUCAUUAGUUAUUCAUUAAGGUUAAUUUGAUUCAAUGACCAGAGUUUUGCGAGGAUAUAUAGCCCGGAGACGACGAACAAAAAUGCGUUCAUUUCCCUCAAAUUUUAGAGGGGCUCAUUUAAGACUUAAUCGAAUGAUUACCCAACAGGUAAAAAGAGCUUUUGUUUCCUCACAUCGAGAUAGAGGUAGGCAAAAGAGGGAUUUUCGCCGUUUGUGGAUCACUCGGAUAAACGCAGCAACGCGGAUAUUUAAAGUAUUCGAUAGUUAUAGUAAAUUAAUACACAACCUAUAUAAGAAGAAAUUGAUUCUUAACCGUAAAAUGCUUGCACAAGUCGCUGUAUCAAAUCCAAAUAACCUUUACACGAUUUCCAAUAAAAUCAAGAUCAUCAAUUAAAAGGAUAAGUAAAGUAAUAUACUGGAAUAAUAAAAACCGACUUCCCGGAGAGGGGACUCCCGGAAGACACAAUAAAUUAAGAUUAAGUGGUAGGAAUCAACGAGCUGGAUUACUUUCGAAUAAAACAUCAACAAUCGGAACUUAAGUUCCGAUUGUUGUUUCUUAAAUUUUGGUUAUAGUUUCUUACGUUUCGAUUGGAACUGUACUUUUGCGUUAAUUGAGGAAUAUGUCUAUUUUUUCUGCGUCUAGAACCUGUAAUUAUUGAAAUUCACUGGGUUGAAAUUGCUUUUUGUUCUCAUAGUUAUGAAAUGGUAAGAAAGAUAAAAUACGAGCCUGUUUUAUAGCAAGAGUAAUUAAUCGUUGUUGUUUCACGGUUAAUCGAUUUAUUCGUCUCGAUAAUAUUUUUCCCUGUUCACUAAUAAAUUGAUUAAUCAAACUCAUGUUUCUAUAAUCAAUUCGAUCUCCCGGGCCAAUCCGAGGACGCCUACGAAAAGGUUGUUUGGAUUUACGAAAAGUUUGCUUGGAUUUACGAAAGGGUUGCUUGGAUUUAUUAAAAGUUUGCUUGGAUUUACAAAAGGGUUGCUUAGAUUUAAGAAAAGGUUGUCUAGAUGUAUACAUGAUUUAUUCCUUAUUUGAAAUUUUAAAAUUAAUAAAAGAAAUUUAAUUUCUUUAUUUUAUUAAUUUAGGAUCGAGAAGAAGUAGUCUUUCUUUGAUCCAUAUCUUAAUCUUAUUUGAUUCAUAUUCUUAAUCUUAUUUGAUUCAUAUUACAGUAUAUGAAUACCCUCUAGACAUAUGAAAUAAUAUCUACCUAAAAUAAUAUGAGUUGAUUUGUAUUUUGUAUUGUAUCUAUGUUUUAUUUAUGUAUUAAAUAAAAUAGGAAGUUCUUACUCUUUCUGUUCUUUCGAAAGAUCGAACACACGAUCUUCCUAUUUCUUUAUUUCGUCAUGAGUCAUGUGCUUGCGACAAUAACGACAAAAAAAUUUGAAUUCUAAUUGUCCGGGUGUAUUGUGGCGAUUCUUUUCAGUACUAUAUCUAGAAAUUCCCGUCGAUUCCUCAUUGGCACCUUUUCGAACACAACUGAUGCAUUCCAAAAUAACUCUGAUUCUAACCUCUUUCCCCUUGGCCAUGAACCUCCUUUUCUUUUUGGUUGGAUUGACUUAACUUAAUUCUUCUACUUAUUCUUUUAUUCUUCUAUUAUGAAUCCGAAGAAGAAGAAUAAAAUCCAUUAGAAUAUUUUUUUUUUGAAAUUCUUAAAUUAAGAAAUAAAAAUAGAGAAAAUAAUUAAAGAAUACAAUCCUUGUCGAAUUAGCAAAGAUUUUGUUUGGAAAUCCUUUCAUUUAAUUAGUCGGCCGGGCCUUUUUCUAUGCUCUGAUUUCUUUGGAUAUCGCUUUUAAUUGAAUUUCCGUUUUCCAAAAUGGGAUUUACCAAAUAUUUCAUGACUCUGAGGUUCAGCCCAAUCCAGCGUUUCGUUCUUUUUCCUUCCGAUACUAAAAAAAGAUUGAAAAGGGUAAAAAUUUCUUCAUGUCAUGAAGAAUUCGAUUUCUCGCAUAGCAAUAACUAGAAUUAAAAAAAGUGAACGACAAAGCAUCUGGGAAUAAACGAUUAAUUUCUAUCAAUAAACCUGCUAAAGAAGCAAACCAUACAGUAUUUAGCACAGGUGCUACAGAGAGAUAUGUUUUUAUAUUCUGCAUUGAAAAUCCUCCUUCCUUAUUGGAAUACGUAUAUGAUCAGAAACUCUUGCCCAAGAACGUUAUGCUCUAUAUGAAAUAAACCAUAUAGACGAAAUUUCCCUAUCCCUAAAAAAGAAAAAGAUGACACUCUUCUUCCUACACAUUACCAUGGUAAUUUUUCUUUUAUAGGCGAAAUUCGAUUGGAUUUUAGAUGUAUAUCAUUCCUUGAUUAUAUGAGAUGAGACCAAAAAGAAGAAAUGACGGGAGGGUUCUAUAUAGAUAGAGAAAGAAGAAGAAAAUUACGAUAUGGAAAAGAAGACAGGAAUUGUUUACAAUGGCAUUGUACAACAAUUUGGAAAAGGGAUGUAGCGCAGCUUGGUAGCGCAUUUGUUUUGGGUACAAAAUGUCACAGGUUCAAAUCCUGUCAUCCCUACCUAUUACUUAUUUCUUCUUUAUGGGCAGUAGCGAAGAGAUUGAUUAAAGGUAAAGUGGGUAUAACUUGAAUUUGUGCAGACUAUACGUACAUGAGAUACGUUAGGAGUAGAAAAGAGUUUUCUUUUUGAAUGAAUGACAAUGCUCUUAGUUCAGUUCGGUAGAACGCGGGUCUCCAAAACCCGAUGUCGUGGGUUCAAAUCCUACAGAGCGUGAUUCCAUUUAUCUUAUGUCGAACCAGAGUAAAGUAAAUUAACAAAAGAAAGUUGAAUUGAGUUGAAUUGCAACUCCAAUUUGACCUCCUCCAGACCAAGGAGGAGGUCAAUCAAAAAAAAAAAUAUUACUCAAUCAAAGAUCCAACUGAUCCCCACGCCUGUAUUGCAAAUACGCAGUCACGAAUAAUCCCGCUAAAGUAAUAGGAAUUAGGCCUAAGACGAUUCCAAAUAGAAAAACUUCAAUCAUUUUGAUUUGUUCGAGGGGAUAAAUAAAUAGAUACGAUCUAUCCCUAAAUAGUACUAUAAAUUAUCCACGAAUCUCAAUGACCAAGAAAAGAAUUCGUAAUUAGUGUGGAAAAGAGUCGUAGAAUACCCGGAAUCAUCUAACCCCAUUGAAAAAUUCAAUUGGAUUUUCAGGGGAAUUUUGGAAUAAGAGAGAAAUAAACAAUUGAAUUUGAAAAAAAAACUUCUUCCUAUUUUGGAUUAUUUCUUUUGGAUUUAACCCUCUUUUUUGAGUGAAAGGUGGAAUUUCCCCCUAUUCUUUCUUAUUUUAACGGAUUGUAUUCCAUAUGGAAAAAGAGGAGAACAAAAGCAUUCCACUAUCCCCCGAAGGGCCCUUAAAAAAAGAAACCUCUUCCUUGAAUUUACUUUAUUUUUAUUCCUUUUUCGAAAACGAGUCCUUCAAUUAUCCUUUGAAGUUCUAUCUUCUGUCUUUCCCUAUUUCAUCUCGUAAAGUUCCACGCUCGCAAUUUAGUCAAGAAAGUUAGACCUAAUCCAACAAACAAGACAAGGAUUAAUCACAAAUCUUGAUUCUUCAAAUAAUGCUUUCUUUCUUUCAUAACAGAUUAUCCACUAUUCGAUUUUCUAUUUAUUAGAUAUUAUGUUAACCAAUUAAAUUAUUUAUAAGGAAAGAUUGGAUUCGAAGAAAACUUUUCACUAAAAAAGGAUAGAUGUCACAUAUACUUGUCCUUGUAUUGUGUAAGUAUGAGAAUAUCUUUCCUAAAUUCUUUAUCCAAAUGCCCAUCAAAUCCCUAAAUCAACGCCCUUAACCGUGGGCGUGAUUUAGGAGCCUUAAUUCUGAUAAUAAACCAGAUCAACCAACAAACUGAACACUAGUGCAAAGGAGCUCCAGGUAGGCUUGGAGAGGCUGUACAAAAUAAAACUUAGUUAAAGCUCAGUUUGGAAGGCAAAAUAGAGGGCAAUGAAAGAAUUAUAUGGUGAUCUCGCGAACACCUUCAGGAUGUUGUAUUGUUUCAAGGCCGAGGUGGAAAAGAGAUCUCUGGGCAGUUUUGUAGAGAUAGAUACUGAAGUAACGGAGGAUGGCAAAGUGUGUUUCUCCAGGUUUUUUACGGUCUUGAAGCCUUGCACAGAUGGCUUCGAAGCAAGCUGCCGGACGUAUCUCAGCAUAGCCUCGUCAUUUCUGAGUGGCACCUGGAAUGGGUAAUUGGCAGCAUGCAACGCUCUAGAUGGACACAACUGGAUGUAUCCUUUGGCAAUUGGUCUAUUAAAAUUCUGAUACAGAAUCUUUAUGGACAUGGUUCAUGAUGCAGCUCAAGAGGUGCAUAGGAAUUUGCACAAAUGCGUGUAAAUGCUUAGAGAACAUUGUGAAGAGCGUAUUUCCCCACGCAGAAAAUAAGGAGUGCUUCCGCGGUUUGUGGUAACUUGAUCCAAAACUUCAAAGGAGAAGAAUUUGAGCGCAUGUUAUCAGAUUGGUAUGAUUUUGGAAAAAUGUCCUGAUUUUGGUGCAUGGCUGACCAGCAACCAUUCUCGGAUAUGGUACAGGUCUAGAUUUAACAGCGAUAUAAAAGUGCGAUCAUAUCAACAACAACUUGGCAGAAAGUUUUCAUAGCUGGGUAAGGGAUGUGAAGGAUUUGCCAGUGCACGAAAUGGUUGACCAAAUCAGGGUGAAGAUAAUGUGCCUCUUCAUCAAGAGAUCAAUGAUUGGUGAGUUUUUGUAGGGGGGUAAGCUUUCGGCAGUGGUUCAACAGGUGGUCAACAGAAGCAGACAGGUCGUACACUUGGCUGUUGAGUCGUCUUCAGCGUGGGUUGCUGAGGUUAAAGAUAUCAGAACUAAUACUUUCCAUGUUGUGGACACUAACCUGCAAGAAUGCACAUGCCUUGAGUGGCAACAUACAGGAAAACCUUGUCACCAUACCCUGUUUCUUUUGGCUUCCAAAUCUAAACUCAGGAUGGGAGAUUACUUGCAUGAGUACUACUCAGUUGCCAGAUUCAAGGCAGCAUAUGCCAGCCCCAUUCCACCGCUUGCAGAACAGACUCAAUGGCCUGAGGUUGACAUAGAAUUUACUCUAUGUGCUCCCCUAGCUGGAAGGAUUUCCAAGCGUCGUAUGACUCCGGUAAGGCCAGAGUAUGUUAACGGCUCACUAGUUUAUGAUGUUUUUGCUUAUUUAUUUGCAGCUUCAUGAUUAAUAGAUUGCUUGCGUGAAUUUAUAGGUUGGUUGAAACCAAUAGCCCCUGCCAGGCGAAAAGAAUGAGGAGCCGUAAGGAUGAAAUGUGAUGUUGUAACUAUGAAAUGUGAUACAAGGCAGCAAAGUCAUGUAACUAUGAAAUGUAAUUGUUGUAAUUGUAUGUGUAGGCACUAUUAUUCUUUCUUAAUCAGUUGUAAGAUUUCAUAUUCGUGGUGUGCACAAACAUCUCUUAGAAUAGUCAGAAUAAAGCUACGGCAUUAUAUAAAGUGUAUACGCUAAACAUGACUAAAAGUCUUUCAACCAUAGUAGAUAAUUAGAGUCUUACAAUCAGAGGAUUAACAACAUAGAGACAAUAACUAAAGGCUUUCAACCAUAGGAGAAACAACAUAGUCUAACGGCGGUCUUCAUCUUCAAGAGCGUUGACAAACACCUCAUUGACAAGGACGGUAACAGGAUAGGACAACGUGCGCUUCGCACUCAGACAAAGCGGCGACGAAUGGUGCUUCUCCUCGUCCUUUGUGUCAUCAUUCAUGGAUGGUAGUGGCUCCGGAAUCUCCACUGUCAAGCUCUUCGACAGAGAUGGAUCAUGAAGCCAUGCCCAGAACCUGACUUCAAGUCGUUCCCUGCUACGCGGAAGCAUCGUCAUCUCGGUCUCAAGCUCGCCUCCUAGCCAGUUUGCAACUAGCUUCAACAUUUGUUCGUCCAAUACAUCUGACCAGAGACCAAACAAACUAAAGUCCUCCAGAUACCCUAGCGUGGAAGGGGUUGCACGUAAGCCAGGAAACCAGCGGCCGAAUUUCACCUCGCCGUCGACGCACAGCACAAGCUCGGCUCUUUCCAGAAUGGAUGUGCAAUCCUGGGGCCUCCUAAGAGUGACAAGGUAAAAGCCCGGCACACAUACCUGCACUCGCAUUGUUCCAAGGCCUUGCCGGAAGGCGCAUUGGAUGGCAGACUCCAGGUGCAUAGCCGACACCUCCAGGACACCUUGGGGGAAGGGGAUGUUCCAAGUCGUAUUGGAUGGCGGCAUAAUAGUUGCAACGAGGGCGUGGCUGAGAAGCCAAGCUCCUUUCUUUUGCAUCCCUGUAGUGCGGGACACCACGAUGUGCCUGCUUUCCGGCCGACGGCGCUCUUCCACGAAGUGGCUGAUAAGCCUAGCUCCGCUGCUGGACAUGGAAAUGCGAGGAAGGGGAUUUGGGAUCUAGGGAUUUGGCAAUUUGGAAAUGGGGCAGGGGGGAGGAAGGGGGUGGGGGGUUGGGGUUUUGGUAGGGUAUUCCGACCAGGUUGGCCUCGGUCCCGACCAGGCAAGGCUCAGAUCGGAUCAGGUGCGGCUCGGUCCCUACAAGGUGAAGCUCGGGAUGGAUCAAGUGCGGCUCGAUCGGAAUCUUUGUCGGUCUGGACUCAUUGGGUCCAAAACGGCCAAAAAGUUGUAGACAUUUUAACAAUUAGGAGCCAGAAAAAACCAAACCAUCUCCAAAUGAGCCACAACUUUUCCAUCGAGAACUAGAUUGAAAAUGACUAGGAAAAGCGAAGUUUCAUAAAUUUUUGGGUCCAUCAGCCUAUUACUGGAUUAAAUUUUAGCAAAAUGCGUAUAUAUUCAUUUAAAUGAUAGUAUAUAACAGCAUACUUCAAAAAAGGUCAGACCCUUUACAAAAAAAAACCUUGGAAUGAUGUAUUGAGUCCAGCAAAAAUAUGUUCUAACCGAUAUGAUGAAAUGCUUUGAGUGCUCCUCAACUAAUGCAGUUUGCUAAUUUCAUCACUAAAUCAUGUUUUCAGAUCGUUUCUAAAGCCAAUCAUGAUAAACUACUUUAACAUUAGAGGGGCUUACACCUAGAUUAUCACUACAUGUGGGUCGAUUACGGUUUCAUUCAUUGCAUAAUUGACCCGGUUAUUUGUAAAUUCCCAUCAAAAAAAUGGGAAAACACUAUUUGUACUCUGGCGGAAAGCCUUAUUCUCUUUCAUACUAUUCAUUCAUGAAAAAAGAAAUAGCAUGUCUUGUAUACAACCUAAAUCGUGUUGGCAUUUCACACGCUUUUGGUAAAAUAGUGAAAUAUGUACUCUAUUUGAUCGUAAAACGCCCUAGAAGUUUAUGAUUUAGACAAAUGCCCCCACCUAUUUUGAACAGCACCGUGACUUUCUUGUACUCGGAGGGAUCGAUCUCCAGUCCAACACCACUUUGACUUUCUUGUACACCACAAGACCAGCACGUGACUAAAGGAGCACACGACAGAAUGGCGCACGGGGCCACCCAAAGGCAUGGAAGGCAUAUACUAGUACCUAUCUAGUCCAAUCCCCGCUUUAUUACCCUUCUGCACACCUGUUCCAUCUACUUCCUUCGUAUUUUAUUUUUGAGGGAAAAUGUUGUUGAUGGGUAGUUGACUUCGGUGGGGCCAGAAUGCAUAGGGACUUGUGCGGCUAGUAGUGGACUGCUGCACCAACUUACGCAUUCAAUGCAGAAUUCAAAACAACGAUGAACCGGUUUGCUACUAGGUAAAAACCACCGACUUCCAUUUCCCUUUUUUUUACUCUCUUUCACAUAUUUUCAUUGAUGAUACACGACGUAUGGAACCUAAUUGGCGUCUCUUUCUUUCCAGUUUGAUGCCACUAUAUUUACUGCACAGCGCUCUGGAUAAAUCCAGAAACCACCACUGCAUACGCACAACCUUUCCUCUUCCCCCAAAUCCACAUCGCAGUUGCUUCUACUCAUUGCUCGUAGCAAUGGAACGCUAUGGCGCCGGCGACAAGGACCGUGGCGGACGAUGCCAGAAGAGGGAGGCAAGCAUACAUGGUGGACAACAAACGGUUCGUUUUUCCGAUUUUCUGACCACACAUGGUGGUUCCCCUUUCCUGAUCUGUAGUUUUUUACUGCUCCAGGCGCUCAGUUCUGGUCAUUUCUUAUUCCAGGCGGUCCCCCAAGGCCGUGGUCAUGAGGCCGGGAACAACCGCACUCACGCCAUGGAGGUAAGCGGUUUAAUAUCAUCCAAAUCCAGAUUUUUACCUAGUAAUAGACAGCACAUACAGUAUUGACAAAACUGGUUUUGUAUUCUUUAGAUGCCUUGUCUAGAUCUGUGCAUGAAUGUACUGAGUUUAGGCAUAGAUCUCUGUAUUGCCUUUCAUGUUAAGAUCCCAAAUAGUACGUACUUAGAGGCUAUUUAAUGAGAUUAAAAUUCAUUAAUUUUCCACAACCCACAGGAUGAGCCAGCAAUGCAGUCCAUCUAGAGAGCGGUUUGCCCCUACCAGUACAGCAGGCUAGACUACCAGCAGAACGAUCGCGUUUGGGCGGAUUUCACCUCUCAGAUCGUGGUAAUUUCUCGAAUCCUGUCUUGCUGUUUUUAGUUGGUUACCUCCUAGACUAAAAGAAAUCACGCAAAUCUCAUCGCAGAACAAAGAUGGUUGGCAUCCCCUUUGGACAUUCUUCUCGCCUGAAAUAUUCCACGGGCUAAGCCCAGUGGAGAAGACGCGUGUGUGGCAGGAGUUCAUCACUGGAUAGCAGAAGCUCGAGACCGAGAAGGUAACUGACAACUCACUUAAUCUUAAUAUGAAGAGAACCACGUAGCAUUUACUUAAUAUGUACUCUGCAUCAAAGGUACCGGAAGCAGCAGAUGAGCUCUACGACUCUGAGGUAAAUCACAGUUGUUACCAUUCCUAGAUUAGAAUAGGAUUGGGGGUAGAAAUUGUCAGAACAAGCCCAACAAAGCUCAUCUUUUUAAUCUACUUCCCACACUCCAGGAUGAUAAGCCGCCAGAGAAAUGAGAGGUGGACUCUGAAGAUGAAGACGACAUUGAGAAGGUGGCCAACAAAAUCCUUCAGUUGCUGAACAAAGGGAAAUGGAAGCCCAUCCGUGGUGACAUGGUCAAGUGCCCCUUCUGCAAUAGGAAGCUCAACCCACGAUUCUUAAGUAUCCUGCAGCACGCCGAGAGUUACAAGCCUGACAGGCCAAACGCAGGUGGCAAGACGGAGACGCACCGCGGCCUUCUGCAUUUCAUGAGAGCUAACGUGCCGCUGAAUCUUCAGGCCAUGAUGGCUGCGCGCGACCAGAAGCUUGCGAUCAAUUUUUGUAACAUCCCAGAAUUUUCCCAUUUUGGAAUGUUAAAUAAAAUAAUUAUUUUAAAUAAAAUAUUGGCUUCGGAAAUAUUUUGGUUGUGAAUUUCUGAAGGAUUUGAAAUUUUUAGGACUUAUUUAAAAUUUUCCACACCAUGUUUGAAUAUUCAAAAAAAGAGUGGAUUAAUAUGACUAUCCAAAUUAUACAACAUGGUUAGGACAUUUAUGUAAGUUCAAAGUAUUCUAUUUGGACCCAUAUGCAUCUUCUGAUUUUAAUAGGAUUAAUCUUUGCAUCUUAAUAAAUCAUAUUUUAUUUUUGAAGGAUUUAUCAACACUCUAAGUUUCCAAUUUGGAUGCCAUGACCAUUUGAGAGCGUUCCAAUUGGGUUGAUUAGAAAUGUUUUCCAACAUUUACUUAAAUGUAAAGAGAGGGAAUAAUAUGACUUUCCUGAUUAUAAGAUUGGAAACAUAUUCAAUGAUUCACCUAUGUUUUUCUCUAUUUUUAUUUUGUCAUGUUCAUUUUGUUUUCGAGAACAAGUUAACAAAUAUUCGAGAAGAGGAUAACGUGACAUCCUCAUGUGCAAAUGUUAUUCCAACAUUUAAUCCAUCAUUGAAAGUGGGAUAUCAUGACUUCCAAAUAUAUAUAGUUGGAACAUUUGCAAUGGUUUACAAAGUGUGUGAUUUGGUGUUAAAAUCAUUUUUGAGAAUUUAUUGGAGUCUAAAAUAUUUAUAUGGUGUUAUUUGGAUUUUAGUUCAGGCUUAUUUGAAUUCCAAAAUUAUUUAUGAACGUUAAUUGGGGUGGAAACUAUUUUGACGAAACCCAUAUUGGAUAUUUUGAUUUACUGAAAUUAUCUUGAAUUGUCAGGGGUUCAUAUAGUAUUUUUUUUUCGAAAGCCUUAUUUGAAUUCCUAUUAUUUUUGUAAUUAGGAAAAGGAUAGAAAAUCCUAAACCUGUUCUUGGGCCGAAGCCCAUCUCUCUGACCAGCCCAGCCCACCUCCUUUUAUUUUUUUCCCUUUCUUUUUGUCCCUGGGCCUCUCUAUCUCCUUCAGGCCCAUCUCCUUUCUUCCUCCCUUUUUCUUUAUUUUUCCCUGGGCUUUUUCCUCGGGCCCAUCCCCCCAGUGCUGAGCCCAGCCUCGACCGAGCGUCUUCCUCCUCGCGCCACGCACAGAAGACGCACGCAGCGCCAUUGCCGCCGCAAUCUCUGCCCCCGACCUCGCCUCCUUGCCCUGCGCCCCGUCCAGGUUCACUGAGCCGAACCCCUCGGCUCUCCUCUCCCUAAUCCCCUCCUCAAUCCCUCCAAUCACUGCCCCAAUCACGGCCUUUACCAUCCUAACCGCCAUUAAUGCCAGCCGACGACACCAUCGCUCGAUCUCCCUCCUCGGCCUAUACAAAAUAGAUUUUGAGCGCGUCACUUUGAGCCUUUGCCUCUCCUCUCCCAUUUCCAUAUUGAAAGUUUCACCUAUGGACCUCUGUAGAUCCCGCACCAUCGACGUCUUCCCCGCCGGUCACCGUCGCUAUCGUUCACGGUGAGGACUCUACAAAGCUCCGUUUCUCGAUUCUUUUCACCGGUGGACUCGUGUGACCCUCACCUGCCCCUUUGACAAGGUUUCGCGAAGAACCAUCACCGUUGGCCGCGCCGUCCCCGACGUCAUGCCGAAGCCAUGCCCGGAACUCCGCCCGUUGCCGUCCAGAGAUGCUACGACCGUGCAAGCCACGUCACGACGUCCGCCUUGACACCGUGCACGUCCCUAGCCUCCUCACCGACCCCGAAGCCCGCCGGAACGACGACUCCAACGACAACCGCCGCCGCCGUUUCCACGUCGUGCCGCCACCGGAGACCGCGCCGGACUUCACCCCUUGCACCGUUUGACUCCCUGCGACGCCGUGAACCUCUACCGCACCUUCUUCGCCUUCCCGAAGCCUCGAUUCAUCAAUUUGUUCGUCUCCUCUAAGAUUUGGGUAUGAAUUUGUUCUUCUUUUCGGCCUGAAAAUGUUCUUCUGUAGCUAUGUUUAGGCAUUGUUUCCAAGCAACUCGUUGAUCCGAUAGUGCUCUAGUUUCUUCCUAUGCGUAUAUUACAAGUUGUUCUAUGACUUCUUCAUAGAUUUUAGUAGUAGAUCAUUCUUCUUAACUAGUGCAUCGUUGUUGCAAAACUGAACCUUCAGCACCCUCCCGUCCUUAGCCGUUUUAUCUGCCAUGAAUUCAGAAACUUUGUUAUAGAUUAGCCAUUUUUGUAAGCCUGUUUAUUUUGACUCAUAACUCCUAUUUAGGUGAAACCAGUGUAUUUUGAAAGAUUUUUUUAUCUAGUUUAAUUCAUCCCAUUGUCUCUUUGUCAUUUGAAGCCAUUAGUACCAGUACAUUUUCAGUAGAAAUUAGUAUCCUUAAUUUGUCAGAAUCUGACUAGCCAGCUUUGCGAGCCAGUAGCUAAUUCUCUGUAGAUCCUUUUGGGAUGAGACUUGUUGGGUUAGCUAGUAAAAUCUUAAUACUAUACAGUAGUAUACUUUGCAUCCCAUGUUCUGUCCGUUAGCACCAUUUUCCAAAUAGCCAAAGUAUCUAAGUUAUAACAGUUCCUAAAGACUUAAAUUCCAGACUUAGCCACUCUGUCGCAAACAGGUCAAAAAUGCUUGGCAGAUAUUGACAAGCAUACAAACGCGCCCCAGGGCCAUUCACACUGAAAGGUACCCCAUCAGGGCGAAUACACAAAAUUCCGUUUAUACGCAUCUGUUGAGUUUUUGUUAGUAUGUCAUGAUGAUUUUGUUGGUUUUAUCUUUUGUAAUUUUGAAUUACUUUUUUGGCGUUGUGGUGAAGAUCUUGCGGCUCAACGACCUGCACGUUUAGGGGGUCAUCCUCGCCCCGCGUACGUUCAACGCUCAAUGCUUCUCAUCUUUUUUGAUGAGCGACUCAAGUGAGCUUUUCGAAACCUUCAAAGGUAGUCACGUUUGUGCAGGGAUACCAGUAAUGAUGUUGCUGCUACAGUUUGAUUGCCGUCUCUAUGUUGAAGCCUCAGCAGAAUUUUCAUGUUGCAAAGUAUGAUAUCACGGAGAAAAUGUCUUUAAGAGAUUUCAUUAUAAUUUUUAAUUAUAUGAGUUACCUUAUAAUUUCUAGAGUAUAUGAUCCAAAGCAUUGUACCUGUAAUGUUUCUUGUGUUUGAAUAAAAUUACAGAUUAUUUAAAAAAAAUCAGGACAUUAUCGUGUUCAAGUAAGCAUAAACAGCCACAUUUAUCAAGACUGCUGCCUCCAAUUCUAAAUUCUCGUAAUUGUUUUUAAAACAACGGCAAGAAUUUAAGAUCGGAGGGAGGGAGUAUAUUAUUCAGAUAAAAUGCAUCUUCAGAAUCCUCAUACAAAACUAAGAUCUGACCAAAACGCUUCUUCAGAGCAACAAGCCCAGUCAGACGACGGCGCCUGAUUAACCAACCACUGGAGUGGCUGCGACGCUGCCGGUCCCGUCGAAGAAGACGCGGACGCGCUUGCUGUUGAACCCCGGGGCCACGCUUGUGCCCGUUGGGAGCACCUCGAUGGCCACGUCGGGCCUGUCGGUGCCGACCUGCGUCACGGCCUGUGCCGCCGGCCAGCCUACCACCUCCGGCCACGAUGUCUUCGUGGUGCUCAUUUUCCUUCUUCUGCUUCAGACUUGUUGAUUCCGAGACCUAAUCUGCAAAUCGUGUUCAGGCAUCAAUGGAUUAAUUCGAUGGAGGUACAAAUCAAACUGUGUUUGAACACAGAUUACAAGAGGGGUUGCGUGGACCGGUGUUGACCCAAGCAGUAUGUACGUACUAGUUGGAACUGGAACUGGAAGUACUGCUUUGUGCUUGUAUUGUGACUUGUGAGUUCUGGCCAAUGUAUGAUCUCGAUCAUAAGGAUAAAGGGUAUUUAUAGUUACAGGUAAUGCAUUGGGCAAGCCGCCGCCCGCGCCGGAACCUUGGUUUUGUCACCCCUUGUGUGUCGUGACCAAGUCUACUCGCAGGUGACAUGUAUGGUUCGAAAACCAUUUUCAAGCUACCAACCAAAUCGCUGCUAAUUCAUUAUUUUAAGAGGGCAAACACAUCCAAAGUACUUGGAAACAAUCUAACAGCUUCUUUGGCAUCCAUCCUUUCAUUUCAUUUGGUAAAAAGAAAUGAAAUUCAAUUUUUGAUAAGAAUUUAUUUGGUUAAAUUUGAAUUCUGGAUUCAAAAUCAAGUUUGUCUAUCACAUGGAUUUGUAAAGUGAGAGAAAAUUUCAGAAAAAUGAUGGCUUUUAGAGGGAAAUUAGGGUUAGUUAUAGUUUAAUUCCAUGAAAUUUGAAAUUCAAUUCAUGUGACCAAUUCUGUGUCAACCAAAUAAGUUGAUAUAUGAAAUUUAAACUGAAUUCAGAAUUCUAGGCUCAAAUGAUGGUUAUUGUAUACAUGUUUUUUUUUGGCGGGCAUAUGGUAUACAUGAUGCAUUGAUGCUGCUGCUCGCUCUUGCAUCACAACCCGGGGGCUCUUGCCUCACCGUGUAUUCUUGUGAUGGACUGCAUGAUCAUUUUUCUUCCCUCCGUUUUUUCAGAUUUUUUUUUGACGGGGUCCUCCGUUUUUUUAGAUGAUAUUUUCCCUUGGUAGGUAUUGUGUUAUGGGCUACUCAUUUUGGGUUUGGGCGAUACUCGCCUGGUGGGCUGCGUGAGCUUAUUUGCUCCAUUACAAUGGGCUAUCCAUUACCUUUGUUCAGUCCUUUUUCUUUGGCAUUUCUAUCGGGUUUAUUAUUGUGCUCUUUAAGUCUAUAUCAAAUGUACAACAAGUAAAAUCCUCCGAUCCAUAUUAACGGUCGCCGAUGUAGUAUAAAAUUGUACUAAAUCAGGGAUGAGUAAUAUGGAUCGAAAAAUAAAAAUGUCGUAUCUUUGUUGGCGGUGCAAACUUUUAUUUGGUACAAACUUGUAUACUAUUCACGUGAACCAUCAGAUCUAAAACAUCUGGUCAAAUCAGAGGUGGAAAUCAAAAUAACCAAAAUCAGAGGUGGAAAUCAAAAUAACCACGUAAGCACGUUUUUCAUAUAACCCCGUGUGCUUAUCCCCACUCCUGGUAACACCCGAUUCCCAUUCUUAAUCUGCACCCCAUAUUUUAGAUUAGAUGGCCCACAUGAAUAGUUUGCAUCGAACGGAGGUAUGCACUGAUAUGCCGCAAUCUUUGUUAUACUAUCUCGAAUUUAUAAAUGUUAUGUUGUCACUGCACCUUUUUCACAUGAUUCUUUAAUAGAACUUGUAAAUCAUGCUCAACUUCAUAAUUUGAAAUGUGCAACUUGUACCCACACAAAAGAUUUUCCUCGUCUCACUAAUAAUAAGAACUUUCGAUGUCCUGUUAAUUAGCAAAAAAGGGUAAAACCAAUUAGAACACAUCUACAACUAUACACCACACAACAACCUGACUACCCAUACACACUUCACACACGCCACUUAGAAGAAGGUCACCACCAAGAUUGCUCGUCGAUGUCGUUGUCAUCACAUGUCACACCUCGAGCUAGCAACUCUUAAUUCACCGACAACAACCGCCGCUACAACAGGCACACGAGGACCACACCAGCCUAUGUCAAUAGUCAGCCGGCAACCAUGUCACGUCAUGAGGUGACUGAGAAGUGAUGACUCUGGUUUUUUCAAUUGUCUCUCCCUUCCCCUGUAGGGAUGCAGACAGGAUCCUGUAACCCACCCACAUUUAGUUCAUUUCUAAAACCUCGUAUUCAAAAUUUGCUAAAAACAUGAAUAGUUUGCAUCCCUAUUCCCAUGUCAAUUAUGAUAAUAUGAAAUAGCAUCACCUCAAUUAUCCUAAAAGGGAAUUUACACGUCUAUUUUCAUGAAAGAAAACUAGCAUGCUUUGAGGGGGAAAACAUAGUUGCUAAACACCUAUGUAUGGAAAUUAAUAAGGGAAAUGCUCAAGCAAGGAACCCAUUGAUUUCUCAAUAUUCAACAAUGGUAAUUAUCUGGUAUGCAAAUCAAGUAGCAAUUAAAUGAUGUCUUCACAUUUUAGAUUUGAUAGACACAAAUAGGAUACUCAAGUAAAUGAAUGCUAUGCUUGUCCUUGGCUUAGCCAGAAAUUGAAGAAUUAAUUCCUCCGGUAACUAGCCUACAAAUAGGCGCAAGCUGCGGCAGAUGUAUUGCAAAACCAAAGCAGACACAAAGAAUUGCAUCACCGUGAACACACACACAUUAGUAUUAAAAAUGGAAGUGAAGCAAGCAGCUAACCUUGUGGCAUGCAUCUUGUUUUGCAUUUACAGCAGAGGUAUACACACAUAGUUUUUCAGUCCCCAUGAUAUCUACCACCAUCAACUCUCUCUAAUCUCUUUGUCAAAUUUUCUUCUCUUUUCACUCAGGCCAUGCAGCGUGCAGUCUAUCAGACCUGGCCGUCACCCAGACCAGGCAGGGAGGACAAUAUCUGGUGACAGUGGAGAACAAGUGCAUAUGCACGCAGGCUAAUGUGAAGCUGGCGUGUCCGGGCUUCAACUCCUCCAUCCCCGUCCUGCCGGCUGACACCGUCCGCGCUCUGCACCUUUAUCGGCCACGGCCCGGCCCCAACCGGUCACGCCAUCCAGUUCUCCUACACUUCGAACACAAAGUUCAGCUCCGUUCCCGUCUCCUCGAGCAUCAUGUGCUCAUGAUCUAAAUAAAUCGGAUCAUCAAUUUACAUCCGUGUUGUCGAAAGGAAAUAUUAUUUCAACUUUGUUGCAUAAAGCGAGCAGUUUUUGACGGUGAUGGGAUGCCAUAUUGAGGCAGUAUGAUAGUCUGGUCAUUAUUUUUCAAAAUAUUAAUAUGUUAUUGGAAACAACAAAGGUGUGGUUCCUUUUUGUAUAUCGUCUUUUCUCUUGAAACUCAAAAUAAUAUCGAAAAAUCAUAAUUUAGUAUGUCUAACAAGAGAAAAAUCUUAGACUCUGAAUCUCUAGCCACACAGUGGCUUCAUAAUAAUUGUUAUGUUGUUUGCUCUGUUGUCCUCCAUUGGAUUUGUAAAACCAGGAAGGGCAGAGUGUUUGGCAAUGUCAAAAAGGUACAGAUGAACGUUAUGACAUUUGUUCCAAAACCGAAUAUCCUCUUCAAGGAUAUUGUCCUGUACACAAUGAAUGGUUUUGCCGCACAUUUGGCGAUGAAUACCAAAUUUUUUCAGCUUAUGGUUACUGAAAGACAUCGCCGUAAUUCAACUGCCAGUCUUUCUCUGCCUGAUGGUUCUACUGUAGAACAUUAUGACAACAAGGCUGAAAUCAUCUUGCAAGCUUUCAGAGCAUGUCUUGGCACCACCACUGAUCUUACCAUGCUUUUUGACUUCGAACAGCUGAUUAAGCAUGUUGAUGGCCUAGAAGCUUUGUCAGUCCCAUUUACAGAAUCUGAAAUCCCCUCUUCCUCACCCUGACCCGAAAAAACCAGUAGCCUACUACCUCCCUUGCCGCAGCUGGCUCGCGCCGCCGGGCAAAGCCCGUGCGGCGUCGGCAGCGUCGGGGCCCUGGCGAGACAGCGUUUUUCUUUGGCGCCGGUGCAGGCCAGGCCAUGGCUGCAGGUCCUUGUCGUGCGGCUAUGGCUAUGGUGGCAUGGCGGCUGCUCUAGCCGUGUGGCGGCGGCGGCUGUCCUGCCGUGGUGGUAGCCUGCAUGGCCGCGCCGUCCUUGCAUGGAGGCGGCGGGGUUGUCUCGCUUCGGUGUGGCGGGUGUGGUCGUUGGUUCGCUGCGGCUCUCUUCACUCGGUGCUUCAUCGGCUUUGGGGAAGACGCGGUGCCGGUGGUGCGGAUUUGGUACGUGGUGCCGGUGGUGCGGGUUUGGUACCCUUGGUCGGCUGGCCGAACCACGACAGUGGCAAUGUCCUCAGACGUCUCUCUCCUUGCUUGUGGCAUUUUUUAGGUACUCCCACACCUCGCAGCUCUAAGUUUCCGGGUGAAAACCCAAAGUCCUUGGACUGGGCAGUGGCGACGCUUGUGGCGUCGCUCUCCCUGUUGGGGACGACUUCGGGGGAACUCUAGAUCUGCAGAUGAGGGGAUCUUGGUCGGUGGGACUUGUUGUUCUGGAUCUGGUUUGCGUCUUCGUUGUUAGGCCUGGCAAAUAUGAUGCGUCGCUCUCCUGAAGAUGGGUUGGUGGAAGAUGGUGGCGGCUGAUUCUGGAGCAUGCGCAUACGGCGCAGGUGGGAAUUAACUUGAUUGGGUUUGCCUUCGUGGCGUUCGAAUUUAAAUGUUAGGCAGUGGUGUGCAAUCAGCACAUAAUGGACAAAUUCUCCUUUCAUUAGGCUCGUAGGAAUAGCUUGGUAGCUUUGAAUUGUUCGAUCUAUGUAUUGUUUUGACAGGCUUGUUUAAUAAAUCAAUAAAAAUAGAUGUGCAGCAUUUUGACGUAGAGGCCAGGAAUUUCAACCUCCUUUUCAAAAGAAAAAAGAAAAACAGAAUCUGAAAUUGAUUUGGUGCUUAGCCAGAUGCCGACAGAAUCUGAACAUGACUUGGAACCUUGCUUUUGUCACCCCUUGUGUGUCCUGACCAAGUAUACUCGCAGGGCAUGACAUGUAUCAUUAGAAAACCAUAUUCGAGAUACUAACCAAAUUUCUAAUGAUUCCCUAUUUUAAUAAGGCAAACCCAUCCAAAGCAUGUGGAAAAAAUAUAACGGAAUUCGUGUGCAUGGUGCUAUUGCUCGCUCUUCCUGCGUCACAAGCAACCCAGGGGCCCUUGCCUCACGGUGUAUUCUUGUGAUGGACUGCAUGAUCAUUUUUUUCAUUAGUUUUCUAUAGAUGAUUUUUCAUUCAUUUGUUGGUUUUGUCCUAUGGGCUACUCAUUUUAGGUCUGGGCACUAUUCGCCUGAUGGGUUGCGUGAGUUUUUGGCUCCUUUUUUUUUUCUAUGCCUCAACUUGAAUACAAGUUGUAGAAUCUGAUUAGACGCACAUCAACACACACCAUACUCACGCACAUCACAACACAGACACACACACCCCUAGCUAUGCCCCUAACAAGACCUACAAUGUAUACCAAGUACGUCGUGAGUCCUCUCCUGUGGCUCGUGGAUAUAAGAGUGAGGCACUAGCGUAAUUUAUAAAAGGGACAGAGCUCCUGGUGACGUUGUGGCUCGUGGAUGUAAGAGUUAGGCAACGGCGAAAUUUAUAGAAAGUAUAGAGCCCCAGCAAGACGUCCAAAUAUUCGUUAUCUGCUGGGAAUCAAAUGCCCCAGCUAGCUACUCGUUCUUAUCUUUUUGCUCCAAAGUUACGGGCUACUCAUUUAAUCUUUGUUUUUCCUUCUCAUGGUCAGGUUAAUUAUCAGGCUUUUCUACGUACAGAAGGAUUGAGGUUCUCUGAUGGUGUGGUUCCUGCCAACAAUGUGGAGGAUAGUCCUUUGCCUGCAUGGAAUGACAUGAGAUCAAAUAGCUCUGCUGGCUCUGAUGUUUUCUUGCCUGCUGGUGGGGAGUCUGUGAUCAUUGAGGUUCCACUGGUCCGCAAUUCUUUGUUUUUACCAGCUUUACCUGAUCCAGUUGUUGCUACUAAGCUGCCUGCUGAAGAUGGAUCUGGGCAUUCGUCCUUAAUCAGCUCAGUGGUGAAUUCAUCCUUUUUGCCUAAUCUGUUCUGUGAUGCUAAGCAACUUUGGUCUCCCUCUUGUCCUCCCAUAUCUCUUAUUAUAUCCAAUUUCAAGAGGAAUGCUCAACAUAUGGAUUACUUCAUUCCAGCUAGGAGAGUGGUUAGGAAGCUAUGUUUUGAGACAGUUGCUCCUCCUUUUGGUGUUGUUGGUCCUUCUCCAUCUUUGUCUAUUGAGGAUGUUCAGCCAGAAACCCCUAAGAAGAGAGAUAGAAAGCCUAAGCUCACACCUGCGGUUUCCUCUGAUCUUCACAGAAACCCAAGAUCUAACAUAUACAAGGGGUUUAAAGUUGAUCUUCUUUCUGGUUCCAAGAAGAAGAGCUCCGAGGUCAAGGGUAAAGUGAUCAUUGACAUGUCAGAAUCCUCUUCCAAUAUUCCUGCUCUCAUCUCUGUGGAGGAGUUGCAGAAGAUUGGGAAGACUUUCUAUGCUAUCCCUGAUGAAGAAAUUACCACUGACAAGUUGGAGGCUGAUGGGCAGUUGGACUAAUCUCUGUGCUAUCUCUACUGGUCAUUAGUUGUUGCCUAUCUUAAAAUGCUUUUAUGUUUGAGUGAGACUAUGUGUGUGGGUUAUUUUGGUCCUGUAAUUCUGAAGUGUGUGGGUUAUUUUGGUUCUGCAAUGCUGAAUUGUGUGGUACUUUGUGUGCUGGACCUGCUCUCUUUAGUUAUAUGUCAAGCUUAGUUCGUAAUUGGAAUGUGAUCUGCUGGAAUGUGCGUGGGAUUGAUUCUAAAGAAAAGCAUGCUCCUCUUAGAAAAGCAUAUUAAUGGUAAUGUUGCUUCAGUCAUUUGUCUUCAGGAGACAAAGCGUGGAAACUUUGAUCACUCUUAUAUCCAAAAUUUUUGCCCUAAAGGAUUUGAUCAAUUCGCUUUUGUGGCUUCGAAGGGCAAUUAUGGGGGCUUCUGGAAUAGUGCAAAUUUUACUGGUACGGUGAUUUAUAGUUCCUCCUGCGCCAUUGUUACUACCCUUACUUCUACUCAAACUAAUUCCUCUUGGACCCUUUGCAAUAUUUAUGACCCCUGCUCAGGUGAUAUACAUUAUGAAUUUGUUGACUGGCUUUAUGAUCUACAUAUUGAUGUAAAUGAGAAUUGGGUGCUUUUGGGUGGUUUUAACUUCAUUAGAUCGAAUGAUAUGCUUUUGUUCAAUGAUAUAUGAUUUGUGUCUUCGAGCUUACUGACAUCCUUAUAAAAGGCAUGAACUUUACAUGGAGUAAUAUGUAGGAUUGUCCUCUUCUUGAGCAGCACGAUUGGGUUUUCACACCCUCUCAUUGGACUAAUGACUUCCCAAAUACUUCAGUUAAAGCUCUAGCAAGACCUGUUUCAGAUCAUUUGCCCUUUUUUGUUGACUAUUGAAAUCAGAAUCCCCAGGACUAAAUUAUUUACAUUUGAAAAUUGUUGGAUCAAUCAUUCGGGGUUCAAAGAGACUAUGGCUGCUGCUUGGCGAAUUCAGGUUCAUGCAAAAAAAACUCUGAUGCUGUCCUUAAUGCCAAGUUGAAGAAUGUCAGAAGGGCCCUAAAACAAUGUAGCAAAGCGUUGUCUAAACUGUCACUGCUGAUUGAAAAUGAUAAUAAGGUGCUGGCCUUUUUUGAUGCUUUAGAGGAACUUAGAGCUUUAUCUACCACUGAGAGAAACUUCAGGUGAAUUCUUAAGAAACAUAUUCUCAAAUUACACUCCUCUCAAAAUCAAUACUGGAGGAAUAGAUGCACUAUCAGAUGGACUAAAUUUGGAGAUGAGAAUACAAAAAUUUUCCAUCGAAUGGCCACUGAGAGACAUAGGAGGAAUGCUAUUACCUCUCUUCAAUUAGCUGAUGGACAGAUGGUUGAGCUCCAUGAUGAGAAAGCUGAUUUUUUAUUUAAAACCUACAAGCAAAGGUUGGGUGAAACUGAUAAUCAUUCAAUGCUUUUUGACCUGGCUCAGUUGAUCAUGAAAGUGGAUGGUCUUGAGGUCUUAUCUGCUCCUUUCACCAAACAAGAAAUAGACAAUGCUCUUAAAAAUAUCCCUAUUGACAAAGCUCCUGGUCCAGAUGGGUUCAAUGGGUGCUUUCUUAGAACAUGUUGCGAUAUUAUUGCAAAUGAUUUUUAUAAUAUCUUCAGAGACCUUCAGGAAGGGAAGAUUGACUUGUUAAGCUUAAACGGUUCUCUUCUCACCCUAAUCCCAAAGAAGUUAAACCCAUUGAGCCCUAAUGAUUAUAGACCAAUUUCUUUACUGAACUGUUGUCUGAAGUUGAUGAAAAAAGUCAUUGCUGAUAGAUUAUAAAAGAAGAUUUUAGAGAUUGUGCACACCAAUAAAUAUGGCUUUAUUAAGGGAAGAUCUAAGCAGGAUUGCUUGGCCUGGGCCUUUGAAUACGUUCAUCAAUGUCAAUCUUCGGGCAGACCAGUGGUGGUUUUAAAACUGGAUUUUGAAAAAGCCUUUGACAUGAUUGAGCAUGAUGGUAUCCUUCAAAUGCUGAAGCAUAUGGGGUUCCAUGAAACCUGGUUGAAAUGGAUUAGCACUAUAUUGUCCUCUGGUCAAUCUGUUGUUUUGUUUAAUGGUGUUCCUGGUAAAAGUUUUAGAUGUCUCAGAGGGGUUAGACAGGGAGAUCCUCUUUAUCCUCUGUUGUUUCGUCCUGGCAGCUGAUCUUCUUCAGGCAAUUAUUAGUAGGCAACAUCAACUUGGAAACUUAAGCUUACCUAUACCUAGAGAUGGCCCUUUCUCUAUAAUCCAAUAUGCUGAUGAUACGAUUUUGGUGCUUCCUGCUGAAGAGAAACAACUGACACAUCUUAAGGAAAUCCUACAUUUGUAUGCCUCUUCUACAGGACUGAAGAUCAAUUUUCACAAAUCCAACCUGGUGCCCAUUAACAUAGAGGCUGACCGUGCUAAGGAACUUGCUGACAUUUUUGGGUGUGCUGUUGCCUCUAUGCCUUUCACAUACUUGGGCUUGCCUCUUGGUACCACCCAUCCCUCGGUUACUGAUUUCUUACCUUUAGUAGAUAGAAUUGAGAGAAGAAUGUCUAGUACCACUGCUCUGCUUUCUUAUGGAAAAAAAUUGACCAUUAUUAACUCUGUGUUAUCAUCUUUGGCUACGUACACAAUGUGCUCUUUACAGUUACCUAUCAAAGUGGUAAAUCAUAUUGAUAAGACAAGAAGAAGAUGUCUUUGGAGUAAGAGAUCUGCUAAUGGUGAAUCCAACAAUGCUCUGGUGGCCUGGGAUAAACUUUGCAGACCAAAAAAGCAUGUUGGCCUUGGGGUCAUUAAUCUUAGAGUGCAAAACUAGGGGCUUUUGCUGAAACAUCUCUUUAAAUUUUUUAACAAAGAGGAUAUUCCCUGGGUUAAUCUUUUGUGGGAGGCUUAUUAUCAUCAUGGAGUUCCUCAAGCUAUGGCUCCUAUUGGUUCAUUUUGGUGGAAGUCCAUCUUAAAAUUAAUUCCUCUUUUUAGAGGUAUCAGCGUCUGCAAACCUAGGACUGGUGACACCAUUCUACUUUGGAAAGAUUCUUGGAAUAGGGAUGGCUGUCUUUCUUCCAAAUUAUCUUGUCUUUUUCCCUAUGCCAGAAAUGAGGACAUGUGUAUUGAAAGUUAUUGCAAUCUGGGAUCUAUUGGAGCUGGAUUCUGUAUCCCCAUCUCUCCAAAGGCCUUGGCUGAAAUGCAUAAAGUGGAUGAUCUUAAUUAUGGAGGCUGAUGUUUCAGUUUUCAGAAAGGAUGUUUGGAUGCCUUCUUGGGGGUCAGUUUUCUCAGCAAGGAAAUUCUAUAACUUUUGUUUCAAAAGGAUUGAUCCCCCUCAGCCUUUCAUCUAGAUUUGGAAGUCAAAAGUCACAUUGAUAAUCAAAGUGUUUGUCUGGCUUCUUCUUAGUGAUCGACUUAAUACAAAAAAUAUGCUUUCCAGAAAGAGCUUCCACAAUGACUCUUCUUUGGCAUCUGUGCUUUGCAAUUCUGGAAGUGAAAACUUUACAUCAUCUCUUCUUUGAGUGUCCCUUCAGCAAGAGGCGCUGGCGUAAUCUUAAUAUCACCUGGCCACCUAAUAUUCCAUGCAUAGAAGCUCUCCACGAAGUUAAACGACAACUCAAUAAUUCCCUCUUUUGCGAAGUUUUUGCUAUUGCUGCCUGGAACAUUUGGAAGAUCGGAAACAAUUUCAUAUUUGAAGGGGAGAGAGCUCGCUAUCAAACUUGGGUGGCGAAGUUUAGAUCAGACUUAGGUCUUCUUGGCUUUAGUAUGCCUCAAUCCCUAGCCUCUUCACUUUCUGUUUUGAUAGACCUCUUUUUAAAUAACAGGGAAAUGUCCCUGAUUAUAAUAUGUAACCUUGUAAAUAUUUAUAACAAUAUACCACAGUAGGAGCCUCUCCUACUGUUUCUGGUAAAAAAAAAAACAUCCAUCCUGCGCCAAGAUUAUCACCAAUUUGGCCCCAACAGGGCCUAAAGCUUCUUUGUGCCUUGAGCCGGGUACAGAACACUUUGGACACCGCCACAGUACAUGUGGACAGCUUCAUAUUCGUCUUAUAGUGAGCAUGUCCGUCCUGUAGCAGCACGCUCGGCGUGUGACCUUUGUCCGCCACUGUGGUGUCCCCUUGAACUAUAAAAAGAGGCCCUUGGCUUCCCCAGCAAGAAGGUUGGCAUCAGGGUCAGUCCAGGCAUAGUGAUUUCGUGGUAGAAGAAGGGUAGAUGUUCCGACCGCCAAAGAAGAGCAGUGUCUCUCUUCCGUCCUCCCGGGCAACCGUAGUUCAGGCUAGAGCUCGCCACUCUGGCCACUCCCCGUAACCUUCCUUAAUCCAACCACCAACAUCAAUACAGACUCAAAGCAGGACAUAGGGUAUUACACCUUCAGGUGGUCCGAACCUAGGUAAUCGAAUGGAGUCGAGGUCCUCGCCGGUGGAGUUCGGGACGCUCAUGCGCCACUCCACCUAAAGAAAAAGGGGGUGUCCGCACUCCCGGUGUUCGUGCUCUCACACAUGACAUCAGCCAACAACCAUGUCGCGUCACAAGACGACUUUGGUUUUAAUGACCAUCAAGAGAUUUCUGCACACUGAACCACCUUUCACAUGAGGUAACGUUGUUGCCAAGCCUUAAGAAGCAUCCAAUGCAUCUACCAUGGUGUAAUCAUCAUCGACAACGGCCCUCAGAAUGAUGACUCAACUUCACUACAAAUGUUCAAAAAUGAGACACGUAGCACGAGACCUCCGACCACAUUGCUAAUGGAAAAUCGUUGCAUAGGACGGCUAAACGAUUGACAAAAAUCUCACGCCAAUCUUUGGUGGCAAACAUCAUUAUUUUCAUUCUUAUGCAAUAAAAUUAUUGUUUGUGUUAGAAAGAGAUGACAAGUUUGUUCUUACAACAAAAGGUGUGAUCAACGCUGCCACUGACUGUCUCUCUUUUCGUACAUGCAUCUUAGGAUCCAAAGGUCAAGAAAGGUUGUUUCUUCCGGUGUAUAAAGUACCAUGGACCUCACACCAAUUGAACUUAUGUGCAAGCCAACUGACGAGGAUAUACCAGAAGGGUAAUCUCACGCGGACUAAAGGAUAGGGACAACUUAGUGUAGAAGCCAUCCUUUAGUCGGUUCUGUUGUUAUCUUGUAGAAGAAGGAUACUUUGUAGGUAUCUUAGGAAGGACACUUCAUAGAUGUCUUGUAUAGAAAGGAUGCUCUGUGCAUAUCUUGUAAAGCAAGGAACUCAUAUUUAGGUUAGGCAUGUUAGAAACCUAGAUGUUCGACUAUGUAAAGUCGGGCUAGGUGCCCUCGAUGGGCAGACAGUCUUUUGUAAUCGAUAUACACAUUACUGAAAUUCUUGCAGGACGGAGGUCUACCUCCAAGAGCAAGGGUAGCCAAACCUGGAUAAACUUGUGUCUCACCAAGCUCCAGCUUAGAUCGCCAUCUUCUCCCUCGUCGGCCUUCUCUCCCGGUCAUCCUACAUAAGGGAUACCAAUCUCUACGAUCUCUCGACACCAACCUUACGAAACAUUAUGUGUAUGAACAAAUCUUUGGUUCGUGUUUGGUUGGAAGCAAUUAUUUUGGCAAGUCAAUUCCUUACUACCAACUCAAGCUAGUUCAUUUUUCUUGUCAAAAUUGGUCAACUUAUGGGGAAAAUUUUGGACUAGCAAAAUAUUUGACAUGGCAAACAUAGGCUCAAACAGUAAGUCUGUUUUGAACAUUGACCUUGUAGAACCAGUCGAAAUUGAACAUCACGUACUAAUCCCAGAAAUCAGCACAUGAUCUUACUGUUCUUGGUCAUUAUUAAUAUUUUCCUUUUUUUCAAAAAGGUGGUCGCCCCCCUCCCCCCCCAAAGCCUUUGCAUCAAAAUGAUGCAUGCAACCACAUGUUAUUGAUUUAUUUUUCAAGCCUAACAAAAUGAAUACAUCCAUCCAACAAUCCAAAGCCACCAAUCUAUGCCUACAAGCAUGACGAAGGGGGUGGGCAUUGUCCGGCCGUAUGCCCUAGCCACAAAUAACUGCCCAACAUCGAAAUCCGUAGGCCCCACUGGGCACAACAGUCAAGAAAAUCCUCAGAGUGUGCCAUCAGCUCACACUCCAGAAUUAGCUACCACCAACUUCCACCAACCAGCUUUAAGACAAGGAUCGAGUCAAUCUAACUUACCAGGCCUGGCAUCAACGAGCAGGACCAAAACACUCCAGCCAGCAGAUGUUCCAAAAUGAUGCCCCCAAGAUGGAGUAUGACAUCGAAACUGUCAUUAUCAUGCGAUCCAGGAGACCCAGAUCUAGCGUUUCUCCGCAAACAUCUGGGCAGGAGAUAGGAGAAUUGCAGUGACAACUGCUUCAAAAAGGUAAUGAUGCCUGCAGGCCCUACCAUAGUCAGCCCGGACCGACCGGAGCCUCGCCUCCCAGAUCCAUCACGAGGACCCAAGAGCAGCAAGACAAUGUUGAGGGGGACGUACCACCGGAGGCAAGGCCGCGCCACUCAAUAGGUCCAUCACUGCUUCUCUUGCCUUGUCGGAAUCCAGCCCACUGCAGCCCUAGGGAGCCAUUUUAGAUGAGGACGCCGCCUCCACACCACCGGCCACCGAAUCAGGGCACGAGGUCCUUGAUCCAUACAACCUCCACCUCCCCGACCACCUUCUGCCUCCGGAUGUACACCGGAGCGCCGCUGCUCAUUAAGGAAGCCAUCGUGCCAAAGAAUGCCACUCGCCAUGGAUAGGGAAACUCGACGAACGAAAGCUGAGACCCACACCAGCAGCCCCCACCGCCAAGCCAUGGGCCCCGACCAAGGCAAAUGGCUACCACCACCACAGUUUGGUCCGUGCCGCCACCAGCGCUACAUUGGGCAUCGUUCCGUCACAACCUCUGUUGAAGCGCCCUUGGAUGCAGAACAAGCCACCCCACCGACCUCAAACCGAGUCAAGCCAGUUCAAGGCCCUGCCUCCGGUGGUGGCAAGAGGAUGGUGGCAGCGACGGUUUUAGAUGGAAGGGGAGCGUGUUUCUCGGAUCAUGAUCAGAGAAUUCUUGGUCAUUAGUGAUCUUAAGAACAUAUACACACAGAUAUUUUAAGCCUGGGAUCGUUGACUUACUAUUGCCAAUAAAGUUUGUUUGAAAAAUUGAGUUCGUAAAGCCGCUCAAAAUCAACCUCCACCAUCUAAUCCCUGAAAUCAACAGGCCCUACGGUUCCCAAUCAACGCGGAUUUUGUAUGGUGAGAAAACUACAACAUUGCCAUUUUAUUUUGAUGGUUUAGGAUUCUGGUUUGUUGAAUUACGCAUGACAGACUUAUAUUCUAGUUGCAAUCUGGGUCACUCCGGUUAACCAUGUACCGAUAAUGAGAUUUUGUUCUCCAACACUCACGAUUCGAAUAGCCACCACGGUUUUUAAAGCAAUGAGACCUUCCAUACGGAGCAUGGCAAGAUGAGUUAGCGUCUGUCAACGUUACUAGGCUUGAUUGUAGUCACGUCAACAAUCCGGGAUUAUAAACCUUCUUAUGAGCAACAUUGACCAGAAAUAGUAAGUUCAGAGUGUUGAUUUAAGAGAUUAAGAAGUGGAUGUUCGAUUUCGACGGACUUUACAAGUUCAAGGUUGAAAAUAGAAUUACUAAAACAAAUAUAUCCCAAGUAAUCCAAACUUCAAAAGGAUAAUGGGAUAUGGGAAAUCACGAGGCAAACCCGCUAUGCAUUUUCGGUCAUCAAAAUUUAUUACUUUCUUUUGUGUUAAGCUAUCUGUUUAUUGAGGGUGUCUAUUUCAUCAGGAUAUUCGUUAUAUAUGGCUACCUGAUGACUUCUCUGGCACAGUGAUGUGAUUAACAGUGACUGUAGGUGCAAGUUUAAUGAAAAAAAGCACAGCAGGAACACAAUUCAUACAAUCCGAAAGCACUUUAAUAGCCUAGUUCAAUAAAAAAAGACUUAAUACAGUUUGAGGUCAAUUUACUGUAAUAGGCUAGUUCUAAGAGUAGUUUUAAGGGUGAACAAAGGUUUCUUCUCAGCUAUGCCUUUAUCUUUUACUCUAUUGUGAACCUCUAUGUUACGGACAACUGGUGGCUCCUUUUCUCUAAAAAUCCGAAAGCACUUUUUUUUUAGAGAAAGGCUUUCGCCCGGCUUUAUUAAGAAAGCCACAGUCAUACAGCGUCAUGGCGCAAACUGGAGAGCCAGCAAGAUUCAACAAACAACCGAAACAGCCAACACCCAACACCCAACGAUCACAUCCACAACAGAAAACAACGCCUCCCAAACGAGACACCAACUACCAAAGAUCAACCAGCCGGAACCAACAUUGCCAACUUGCGGUUCUUCUCCUCCUUCACACACAGUUGCAGGACCUCCAACACCUUAGCUACCAUCUUCAUCGUCGGCUCUCGACGUUUUUCAUGGAGUAGAGUUUUCCAGUAAGAAACCCCGGUGCCCUGAACACACCUGCAAAGGAGAGGAACAGAUAUGUUGAUUGAAAACAAAAUCAUUCCUAGUAAGCCACAAGGAUCAAUCGAGGGCAGCCAAAAGCGACCACCAUUUGUGCCUACUCGGCCCUUCCUUGAGUAGGCACAGCGCCCGGAAAUCCCCAAAAGAUUGUGGGGCUGCCGACCAACCAAAACUAUCCCGAAGAAUAACCCACACAAAGGAAGCAAUGGGACAAAGGAGCAGCACAUGAUCAGCAGUUUCCGGUUCCCCACACAGUUUACACCCUCGCUCCCCCGGCCAGCCUUUCUUCGCAAGCUCUUCAGUGACUUGAAUUCGCCCCUGAAUCCCCAGCCACACAAAGAUCUUAUGUUUGAGAGGAAUACUUGCCUUCCAGAGAUCCAUUAUCUCCAAAUUGCGCACCCCCGAGUGCAGCAGAGCGGAGUAAAGAGAUUGGGUAGCGUAUCUUUUAUUUUUAGUCAAACACCAAUAAGCCUGAUCACAACUAUCCGAGAGCUGCACCCUCUCCAAGAUCAAACAAAGCUCCUCCCAUUCCACCUGCUCCUCAGGUCCAAAGGAUCGACGAAAGGACAGGUGGAUAUCCUCAUCUCUUAAAACCUCUGCCACCGUCUCCCCUUGUUGUUCGCAGCAGCGAAAGAGCCGAAAGAAGUGAACACUGAGAGGAACCUCAUCCACCCCAAACAUCCUCGCAGAAGCGAACCCAACAACCAUUGCCAAUCGAAUAAGCACUCCCUGUGCUAAACCAUUGCUUAAUAGCAUGCAAGCCUUUCCAAAACUGUGACGCCCCCGCGCGCUGGAAGAUUGAAAAAACCCUCCCUCACCAAGAUACUUGAUUUGCAGAAUCUGGCAACUCAAAUCCUGAUCACCACUCUCAAGUUUCAUAAUUCACUUAAGAAGUAACGCCACGUUGCGAACCCGACUGUUAAUAAAGCCCAAACCCCCAAAUUCUUUAGGCCGACAAAGAUCCUCCCACCGGAUCAUGUGAUACUUCCUUUUCUCACCUACCCCUUCCCAAAAAAAUCUAGCCCGGAUAGAAUCGAUCUAAACAUGAAUGCCCUCAUGAAGUUUAUAAAAACCCAUGAUAUAAGUAGGAAUAUUAUCGAGACAUGAAUCAAUUAGGAUCUUCCUACCCCCGUAGGAGAUCCACACUCUGCCAGUACUCAAGACGUUUCUCCACCUUGUUCACCACAACCGAAAGCUGAUCAAGAGUUAGCUUCUUGGGAGCCACAGGGAUGCCUAAGUACUUUAUUGGAAAAACCCCAACCUGGCAAUUCAUAAUGUUCACAAUGCGUUUCUGUUCCUCCUCCUCCACACCCAGCACAGACACUUCACUCUUGUGAUAAUUAAUCUUCAACCCGGACAAUUCUUCAAAGCAAUACAGCAGGAAUUUGACGUUACGGACCGAUUGAUCAUCAUAAUUGAGGAACAACACAAUGUCAUCGGCGUAUUGUAGGUGCGAAACCCCCUCGGGAAUAAGAUGGGGCACCAACACCUGCACAUGUCCGGUCUCUUUCGCCGCGCGUAACAUUGCACCCCGCGCAUCAUCCACCAAAUUAAAAAGUAAUGGGGACAACGGGUCCCCCUGCCGCAGCCCUUUAAAUGUGCGGAAGAAGUCCCCAUUCACACCAUUCAGAUUGAUACAGAUCUUCCCAGACUCAACAGUCACUCUGAUCGACCCAAUCCAUUGAGCACAAACGCCUCAUCGCACCAGCACUUCCACUAAGAACGGACACCGAACUUUGUCAUAUGCCUUCUCAAAGUCCAAUUUUAGCACAAUCCCCUUUUCCUACGAGCGAUCUAAGUCAUGCAGAAUUUCAUGUAUCAAAACUACUCCCUCGAGUAUGAACCUUCCAGGAAUGAAAGCCGUCUGCACCUUACUAAUAAUACGAGCAGCAACUGAAGUCAACCGUGAAGUCAGGAUCUUGGUAAUCAACUUGAAGAUCACAUUAAGAAGGCAAAUCGAACGGAACUGACGAAUGUUAGUGGCCCCUGGGACCUUGGGCAAUAGCGUAAUUACCUCGUAAUUAAGCCUACCCAGAUUAAGACGCCCCAGCGAUAACUCAUCUAACGGCUCUUUAACCAAACCUUUAAUCUCAGGCCAAAACUCCUUGUAAAACAGUACACUAAAACCAUCGGGACCCGGCGCCGUGUUGGUUUUAGUGCUUUUAAGUGCAAGCUUGAUUUCCUCCACGCAGAAAGGCUGCACCGAACAAGCAUUUUCCUCAAGCGACACCUACUCCCCGACCUCCCAAAAAUCCGGAUGCAAGUGAACUGAACUGUCCAACUCACGACCAAACAACUAUUUAUAGUAUGACGAGAUAUGUUGUUUCAGCUCCUCAUUUUCCUAGAUCAAUAUGUCAUCUUCUUCCAGAGCCACAAACAGAGUCUUCCGGCGCCUCCCAUUAGCGAUCCGGUGAAAAUACCCCGUGUUGUUAUCACCCUAAAGGAGCCAUUGCUCCCCACCCCGCCUCUGCCCGUACAUUUCCUCAGCCUUAUAAAUCAUUUGCAACUCAGCUUCCAAACCAUAUCGACGUCUCCACCUAGCUUGAUCAAGCACUCCCUGGUCCCCUAACUCAUCUAGCACCUUAAUCUCAGCAAGCAAAACAUCUUUUGUUCUUCGGCGUGCCCCUUUCAAGUUACGGCCCCAACCUUUCAUAAAUUGCCUAAGAGAGGAAUGGACUAGAUGACAAAAAUCUUGAAUAGACUGGCCAGACCUCUCAGGCCAAUGAUCCCUCACCGCCUCCCGAAAAGAAUUGUCUAAAAACCAACACGGCUCCACACGGAACUGACCCAUCAUCCGCGGUUGAUUAACCCCACAGUUAACCAACAGCAGACAGUGAUCCGAGCCCACUCUAGUCACGGUCUCAACCACCGCCAAAGGGUAAAGAGUUUCCCAAUCUGACGACAUCAAAACCCUGCCCAGAACCACCAUAGUUGGCGAUUCUUGUUUAUUGGUCCAUGUAAACCGACCGCCCAAGCGGUGUAGUUCGCAAAGUUGAGCAACCUCAAUUACUUGGUUAGACUGCGCCAUCAGAUUCUUAUGAAUAACACCUGACGAUUUUUCCUCCGCAAAACGUAUCAAAUUGAAAUCGCCACCAAUCAGCACCGGGUCCCUGACCCUAUCAAAUUUUGCCGCCAACUCAGCCAGAAAAACAUCCUUUCCAUCAUGACCCGCCGGACUGCAAACGUUAAUCACUUCCCACCUCGCACCAGAGAUUUUGUGAACCACCAUCAUGCUAGAAAAGAACCGCCCCGAUUCCGACGAGAUAAGAUAAAAAAUGUCAGCCCGAGCUGCAAUAAGCAAACCACCUGAAUGCCCCUCCGCAGGUUUAAUCUCCCAAUGAUAAGAAUGUGGAACUCCCAGCGAGGCUAAUUGUUUCUUAGAGAAAACAGCCUUGAUGGUCUCUUGUAAGCAGAACAACUCAACCUUAUAAACCCUCAGCAACUCCACAAGUUGCGCCCUCCUACCAGCCGUUCCCACCGCCCGAAUGUUCCAAAACAGGAUAUUCAUCGACCCCGCUUCUUCCCCUUCUUGCCCGACGAGCCCCUACGGCUACCAUUGGCAGAAAACUUCACAACGAGUGGCGAAUCCAUCACUCCCCACUUGUUGUCCAACUGUCGCUCAAGAUCUUUCACAGGCGAACGGAGCAGCACCUCCUGCUUAUCCUCCGAUACAUCCACAACGGGAGCCAGACCACCCAACCCAACAGAUUUAGCCAGAGCAAUCUCAUCCUCCUUAACUUUCAGUUCCGCCUCACUAGCUAACUGCGCUUUUUUAGCUCUAGCAGCCGCAAGCGCCGCCUCAGCAGGUAUAAGUCAUAUGGUCGACUUAAAUAGGAUGCAAGCAGUUAAAUCAAAAGUUGGUAAUCUGUUUGACUAAAUCCAACAUUAGAAUCUCACACUAUCAAUACACAUCGACUCCACACUUGAAAUUUCAAACCGCCCCACAUUCCUUUCUAUCCCACUUCCACUGCCUUGCCAGCAUACACAACAAGAAUCACAAACCUCUACACCAAAGCGCAUACAACACACACACAUCCUUGCCUUCUUCUCCGAUCCUCCCUUGCACGGUUAAUCAGGUCCAAUUUUUUUUACAAAAGCCACACGAACGAACAGACAGCUAAAAGCAGCUGCUCAGCCAGUCGCUCACUGGCUCACUGUGGCAUGGGGAACGGCAGGUUCAUGUACUUGUAAGUAGUAAACCCGCCAUCCACCACCAAGUUAUGCCCGGACACAUACUUCCCGUCAUCGGACGCGAGGUACACGGCAGCCCUGGCCACGUCCGCCGUCUCACACGUAGCACCCUUGAGCUCCCCGAGCCCCCGCACGAUCUUCUCCACCUCGGCCUCCCCAACUCGACCCCCCAGCAUCUCCACGAACUGCCUUACCACCAUGGGCGUCGCGAUCGCGUGCGGCGAGAUGCAGUUCACCCUGACGCCGCAGCGGGCCAGCUCUGCCGCGGCAGCCCUGACGAUGCCGGCCACGGCCAUCUUCGACACCGCGUAAGGGUACGUCCCUAGCCCGCCCAUCUGGCCGCUGAUGCUACCCAUGCAAAGAAUGGAUCCCGAUCCCGCGGGCGCCAUGACCCGGCUCGCGUGCUUGAUCCCGGCAAUGGUGCCGCGUACGUUGACGCUCAUCACGGCGUCGAAUUUCGCCAGGUCUAGGGUCGCCAUCUCGGACGUGUUUGCCAGGGAGCCCACGAUGCCAGCGUUGUUGAACAUGAUGUCCAGCCGGCCGUGGCGGGCCAUGGCUUCGUCUACGGCUGCCGCCACGCUGGGCUCGAGGGAGACGUCGCAGUGGACGAAGUGGGCCGCUGGGCCGAUCUCUUGGGCUGCUUGGUGGCCUAGGUCCGAGUUGAUGUCCGCGAGGACUACGGUUGCGCCCUCCUCGAUGAACUCUUGGGCUGUGGCCUUCCCCAGCCCGCCUGCUCCUCCGGUUAUCAGGGCGAUCUUCCCCUCCAGCCUGCGCAAAAUUCGGAUCAUGCCAGAAAUCAGAACCCCUCGGAAAAAAAGACAGAGUUGGUUUAAUAAUUAGCCCAGAAUGAAUUUUCGCAAUAUUGUUGUCAAGGAACAAGGAUGGAUUGCAAAUUAAGUUGUUGUAAAAGAUGACAUAAAUACAACUAAAUUUUCGUGCAAAUAAAAAUGUCUUUAAUAUAAAACAAGAAAUAACGUUAGAACCUUAUAACUCCAUCUCGUUUUUUACGAAGGCCAAGAUGAGAUCCGAAAUAUGCAAGGCUGCAACAGCCAACAGCCAAGUGGAGAGAAAAAAAAUACGCAAAUGAAAUAAAAGCAUGCAUGCACACGCAAGGAAAGUAACAGUAUCUAGCGGAAAAGGUGCCGUGCUACAUCAGAACAAAACCCAGCAUUCGCGUGCAUUGUUUAACAUAAAGAUUCUUGCUAUGUGCAAAAGCUGUGGCAACACUGUCGGGCGCUGGCUCGCUCUUUGGAAACAGCAGUGUGGCACUGUUCUUGGAAGCUGCCGAGCGCAUGCAUAUGCUUCCCCACACGCAACCCCAUCUCCCUCUCUGUAUCUCCGCCGGCCCUCUCUCUCUGAAGUCUGAACAUGGCCAGAACCAACAGUAAUUAACUUCGUUUGGACUAAGAUCUCUCUUUCUCUCUGAACAAGCUAAUGCUCCCCCCUCCCAUGCUUGAGCAUUCCAAAUACAAGCUACAUGAGUCAUGACGCCUCAAGUAACGGAUAUAUAGCAACUGGAGUUGUUUUCUUGUCCUUCCCUUACCUCCCCUUGGGCGCCGUCGACGAUAGCCCUCCCCCUGAGCCGGCCACCGCCCUCCUAAAAGCCAUCAAAGUAGGACGUUAACAAUGUACUCACUAAUCUGAGCAGAUCACAGCCUAGAAUUUUUCUUCAUGAAGAGCAAAAUUAACAAAAGGAAGCAGCUGCCCAUACAUAAACAUAUCACAUAUGCAUGCAUAUCAUAUUUAUCUCACACAACAGAUAUCAUUAGAGAGAGAGAGAGAAGAGAGGGAGGCGUGAUGUGUGGAGAAAUUAAGCGAAGAAUUAGUACCUGGCUUCACGGACUAGCCGGAGCAUCAUCUGGAUCCCGGCCGUGUGUUGUUGUUCUUGGUUCUUUUGGAGAGAAGGGGUGGGGGAGAGGGGUAGUGGUUGCUCUCCUCUGCUUUGUAUGCGCGCGUCAAAGGAUGCUUGCAGCCUAGGAGCUUCUUAAAUAAAACCGAUCGAGGAGGACCGGCCGGCCUCCUCUCCUUCUCCUAGUCCUAUCCCCGUGCAACCAACAACCCUCUCUCAUUUAUUCUAGGAACAAUUGGUACUCCAUAUGUAUAUCUCUCGUGCUUCAACAAAAGAAAAUACUCAUGCAUGCAUGUUGACAUUUUGCCAUGAAGGCGAUAGCAAAGGCUAAUUAAGUGAUAUGGACAUGCUAACCAUGGAUACGACUUUUGGUACCCUCAAUUCUAUAAUAUUUGACAAGAUUUAUAAUCAGGUGAAUUCAAAUAGUAAUUGUUUUCAUUGUCAUAUUUAUGAAAAUAUGAAGAAAAAGCUUAAGGUAUUUCGGUGA
rnacentral:lncRNA from 1 species